rnacentral:rRNA from 1 species
AACGAACGCUGGCGGCAGGCUUAACACAUGCAAGUCGAACGCCCCGCAAGGGGAGUGGCAGACGGGUGAGUAACGCGUGGGAACGUGCCCUUCGCUUCGGAAUAGUCCCGGGAAACUGGGUUUAAUACCGGAUAAGCCGUAUUGGGAAAGAUUUAUCGGCGAAGGAUCGGCCCGCGUUGGAUUAGCUAGUUGGCGGUGUAAUGGACCACCAAGGCGACGAUCCAUAGCUGGUCUGAGAGGAUGAUCAGCCACACUGGGACUGAGACACGGCCCAGACUCCUACGGGAGGCAGCAGUGGGGAAUCUUGGACAAUGGGCGCAAGCCUGAUCCAGCCAUGCCGCGUGAGUGAAGAAGGCCUUAGGGUUGUAAAACCCUUUCGCCGGAGAAGAUAAUGACGGUAUCCGGAGAAGAAGCCCCGGCUAACUUCGUGCCAGCCGCCGCGGUAACAC